rnacentral:lncRNA from 1 species
GCUGGUUCUGUGAGCAGAUGUGAGAAGAGUUGCUCAUUUUCCCAAAACUUUACGAAGGACUCCACAAGCCUGGGCUUCAUGUUGGAAUCUAGCGCCUUUCUGUUAAUAACCACUCCUUUUCACUGCCUGGAAAGAUGUACGAGCGACACAAGCGGAGGUAUAGUCUGCGUGGAAAGGGGGAGAGAACAGUGGAUGUCGUUUUGAUAAAGAUCCACAAAGAGAAGGAGUCAUUUUACCCUGUCCAGCCCUGCACAGAUCCCACACUACAGGUGAAGACCACCAUCCCAGAAUGCACAGAAUUCCCAGUAUCCCCAUGCUCAGAGAGUGUUGGAGGAUCUGUGUCGACCACUGGUGCCCUGCGGGACUCAGUCAGUGAUUUGGACAGUCUGGGAGAGGACGGUGUCUUCAGAAAGGUGAGAUCAGCACACUGGAAAGAGACAUUCCCUUUAUAGUCACAACACUGUCAAAGAAGAAGAGUAAG